rnacentral:rRNA from 1 species
CCUACGGGUGGCAGCAGUGAGGAAUAUUGGUCAAUGGGCGCGACCCUGAACCAGCCAAGUAGCGUGAAUGAUGACUGCCCUACGGGUUGUAAACUUCUUUUAUAAAGGAAUAAAGUGAGGCACGUGUGCCUUUUUGUAUGUACUUUAUGAAUAAGGAUCGGCUAACUCCGUGCCAGCAGCCGCGGUAAUCCGGAGGAUCCGAGCGUUAUCCGGAUUUAUUGGGUUUAAAGGGAGCGUAGAUGGGUUGGUAAGUCUGUUGUGAAAGUUUGCGGCUCAACCGUAAAAUUGCAAUUGAUACUGGCAGUCUUGAGUACAGUUGAGGUAGGCGGAAUUCGUGGUGUAGCGGUGAAAUGCUUAGAUAUCACGAAGAACUCCGAUUGCGAAGGCAGCUUACUAAACUGCAACUGACAUUGAUGCUCGAAAGUGUGGGGAGCAAACAGGAUUAGAUACCCCUGUAGUC